GCUCUCUUGCCUGCCACGAUGAACCCAAAGGCUGAGAGCAAUCUCAUGAAUACGGAAUUGCUACAGAUACAUGGCUCCUCCUUCCCAGCAAACAAAAAACAAGAUGUGAUUUUCAAGAGUUCAUAUUAUAGGACAUUUUUCAUCAUGGCAAUUUGCUAAACUUAGACUAAAGACCUUAACAAACACCUCACCAAAGAAGAUAUACAGAUGCAAAUAAGCAUAUGAAAAGAUACUCUACAUUAUAUGUCAUCAGAGAAACAUAAAUUAAAACAACAAUGAGAUACCACUGCACACCUAUUAGAAUGGACAAAAUUCAGAACUCUGACAGCACCUAAUGCUGGUGAGGAUGUGGAGCAACAGGAAUACUCACUCAUUGCUGGUGGGAAUGCAAAAUGGUAUAGCCACUUUGAAAGACACUUUGGCCAUUUCUUACAAAACUGAUCAUACUCUUACCAUAUGUUCCUGCAAUCAUGCUCUUUGAUAUUUACCCAAAUGAACUGAAAGCUUAUAUCUACAUAAAAAUCUGCAAAGAGAUGUUUAUAGCAGCUUUAUUCAUAAUUGUCAAAACUUGAAGCAACCGAGAUGUCCUUCAAUAGGUGAAUGGAAAAGAAAACUGUGGUAUAUUCAGGCAAUUGAAUAUUAUUCAUUGCUAAAAAGAAUUGGGCUAUCAAGCUAUGAAAAGACAUGGAAGAACUUAAAUUCAUAUUAUUAAGUUAAAGAAGCCUAUCUGGAAAGGCUACAUAUUGUAUAAUUUCAACUAUAUGACAUCUGGAAGAAGCAAAAGUACAGAGAUAGUAAAAAGAUCAGUGGUUGUCAGGGCUGAAGAGAGGAGGAAUGAAUAGGCAGAGCACAGAGAAUUUUAGGGCAGUAAUAGUAUCUUUAUGAUACUGUAAUGGUGUAUACAUGGCAUUAUACAUUUUUCUAAACCCAUGGAAUGUACAUCAAGAGAGAACCCGAACAUAAACUAAAUAAAGACUUCAGGUGAUAAUGUACCAAUAUAGGUUCAUCAGCUGUAACAAAUGUACCACUCUAGUGGGAAAUAUUGAUAAUGGGGGAGGCUGUGCAUGUGUGGGGACAGAGGCAUAUGGAAAAUCUCUGUGCCUUUUACUCAAUUUUGCUAUGAAACUAAAACUGCUCUAAAAAAUAAAGUCUUAAAAAAAUUAGCUAUACUUUGACAACUGAAGUAUUUGUUAAAUUUCUUAAUCCUGUAUUUUCCCAGGAGUAAUUUCCUUUAAAAUAUGUUUUGAAUUACUUUUGAAAGCUUUUAUCUCUUUUUCAGUCGAUUAGGAGAUGUCAGUGGAUUCUUUAUUUUAAAAUUUUGAAAUCAAUAAUCCUUGGAUUUACAUAUUUUUAAUGUAAAAAUGGAAUGAAGUAUAAUAUCAUAGGAAAAUGUUCACAGAUUAUAUACAUACAGCUUGAUGCAUAAACACAAAUUGAAUACAACUUUUAAACCAGCAAUCAAAUUGACUUUACAGAAAUGGGAUCAUUCAGUAAGAGUUAUUUUGUGUUUAUUUUCUUUCAUUCAAGAUAAUGUUUCUGUCAUUCGUCUUUGUUGUUGGUGUACAGUUGUAAUGUUUACAAUUUCCCAACUAAAUAGUAUUAUAUUGAAUAAAUAUACCACUAUAUC
rnacentral:lncRNA from 10 species